rnacentral:rRNA from 1 species
ACGCUCGACACCUACGGAGGCAGCAGUGGGGAAUAUUGCACAAUGGAGGAAACUCUGAUGCAGCGAUGCCGCGUGAGGGAAGAAGGUUUUCGGAUUGUAAACCUCUGUCUUUGGGGACGAUAAUGACGGUACCCAAGGAGGAAGCUCCGGCUAACUACGUGCCGGCAGCCGCGGUAAUCUGAGCGGGCUGGCAAGGC